rnacentral:rRNA from 1 species
GGACUACCGGGGUAUCUAAUCCUGUUUGCUCCCCACGCUCUCGCGCCUCAGCGUCAGUCUCAGUCCAGGUAGUCGCCUUCGCCACUGGUGUUCCUUCCGAUCUCUACGCAUUUCACCGCUACACCGGAAAUUCCACUACCCUCUACUGUACUCUAGCUAACCAGUCACAGAUGCCGUUCCUAGGUUAAGCCCAGGGAUUUCACAUCUAUCUUAACUAACCGCCUACGCGCCCUUUACGCCCAGUAACUCCGAUUAACGCUCGCACCCUCUGUAUUACCGCGGCUGCUGGCAC